rnacentral:rRNA from 1 species
AACCUCCGCAAUGUGAGAAAUCGCGACGGGGGGAUCCCAAGUGCCAUUCUUAACGGGAUGGCUUUUCAUUAGUGUAAAGAGCUUUUGGAAUAAGAGCUGGGCAAGACCGGUGCCAGCCGCCGCGGUAACACCGGCAGCUCUAGUGGUAACAAUUUUUAUUGGGCCUAAAGCGUCCGUAGCCGGUUUAAUAAGUCUCUGGUGAAAUCCUGUAGCUUAACUGUGGGAAUUGCUGGAGAUACUAUUAGACUUGAGAUCGGGAGAGGUUAGAGGUACUCCCAGGGUAGAGGUGAAAUUCUGUAAUCCUGGGAGGACCGCCUGUUGCGAAGGCGUCUAGCUGGAACGAUUCUGACGGUGAGGGACGAAAGUUAGGGGCGCGAACCGGAUUAGAUACCCGGGUAGUCCUAACUGUAAACGAUGCGGACUUGGUGUUGGGGUGGCUUUGAGCUGCUCCAGUGCCGAAGGGAAGCUGUUAAGUCCGCCGCCUGGGAAGUACGGUCGCAAGACUGAAACUUAAAGGAAUU